UUAACAUUACUCUGCCAUCUCGUGGCAGUAAAAGAAAAUCGACGUAUAUUACACAUUUGAAUGUCACCACUUAAAAUACCGAAUUCGACAGAUUGAUUUAAUUUGUAAUACUACUCACACGCAGGAGAAUUCAAUAUAUUGUACACUGUUUAACAACGCCCUUCCAAAGCGUAUACCAAUGGGAAAUCACAGUGAACAAUAUUUUGAAGAUAACAUCAGAAAUGGAGCUUCAUAGUAAAGUUACCUCUGUGCUUAACUAAGCCAAUUGUGCCAAGACAGUAUAAAUAAAUCAAUGUGCUUGGGGUUCAUGUUGAAAAAUAAUUAUAUAUCAGUGAACUACAUGGAGCUACAUUAGCAUUGUACAGCCUUGUGAUUGGCUGACACCCCACACCAAUCCAAGGAGUCCUACUACCUGUCUCUAAAGAAGAAAGAAAUCUCAUUGGAUGCCUGAAACUAUGGUGGAGGAAUCAACAUAUCCACUAGCACAGAACAAACUGAAAGCCAAAACUUGGAAGGUGGUGGUGAUGAUGAUGAUGAUGAUGCAUGAUGCAUGAAAGAAUAUCAUAUUUGACAGUGCAGACACAUGACCGGAAGAAACAUCAAACUAAAUUGUCAGGAUAGGAAUCAUAUACUGGAAGCAGAGGAGACCCCUGUCAUCAGUUCGGAUUGACACUUUCUGAGACACUGCAAGGGACUUGGAAGAUGGC